GGAGAAAAUAACAAUUAUAAUGUAUCUAUGGAAAGAAACAACGCUAAAAAUCAAAGUACUUACAUAUGUUUGAAGGGAUUUUGACUAGAAAUAAUUACAUCAUAACCAAGAAAGCGGUUUGCAUUGUGCGAGGAAGAAAUAACUCGGUUAAAAAGAGUUCGUAAACUUUGGUGGUGGUGAUAGGAUGCGAAAAUGACCUAAACAUUAAAGCUAUUAAAGAAGUAAACAGUGGGUCAAGAUAUGCUAUACAUAGAACGAAAAAAAACUACGGAAAGGCCACCAACUUCGUUCAUUUACACCUCUAACUGGAACUCCCAGAUUGGAACCACAUUGAAGCACGCAAUGCUGGCAACCGCUGUUGUAGCGGAAAAUAUAACUCCGCUAGAUUUGUCAGUCCUUGCCUGUCGUCAAAAACCGAAUCUGAGCUCAUUUUCGUUCAUCGCAAUUCGACGUAAAUAAGACCAAAUCUAUCAAUUCGGCGGUUUAGAACGGUUUUAGUGUAACAGCACCUUACCGGGAACAAUUUCUGUAUUUCUUGCAACAUUAGCCUACAGCAACUCGUUAAGCUUACAUCAAAUACUGCCAAGUGAAAUGGAGAAAAAACUCAAACUGGGGGUGUUGAGAUAGUGCUCCCCAAGACCAGUUUAAUUUGACACUUCGCCGCAUAGACAAACAGCAGACUUCAACAUCAUCAAGCAAGAAAUCAUCAUCGCCACAGGAAACUCCAGGAACCUCAUAAUUUCCAAUAGAAUGAAUUUUAAGAAUGUAAUACGAUGGACGAGUGAAACUCGCACAAUUCUGCCCUACAAAAAACCUCUCGAUCAAGUUCGACAAGAAAGAUUCAUCAAUAAAUAAAUACAAUUUC